rnacentral:sRNA from 1 species
GCAAGAGUCGAGGAUGUGCGAGGUGGGUGGACUUUCGCACAUGCACCACAACACAGCAUAGAACAAUUGACAAGCUGUUCACGGCGAGACGCUUAUAACAACUGCUGCUGCUGCCGCUGCUACUCGUGUUUUGUUCUGCACCUAACUAGAUACUUCGACAGUUUCCUCCCCAUCGACAACGAUGGCAUGGUAGUCCACCAUGUAAGUAUUAUGAAGGCUAUAGAAUCUUCUAACCUUUAGCCGAUAUGGGUCAAUAUUUUUUUCUUUUCUUUUCUUUGUUUGCUUUUGUUUUUACUGCUCCACAUGAAGUAGGGCACACUCACAUACGUGAAACUUUCACAUGUAUGCAUUUUACAUAUCGAAAAGGUAAAUGGUACAGAGUACAUGGAGUGUCAUUAAAAAUUUCCAACCGUUUUAAAAUUUAUGACCGAUGUAGAUUUAUGAAUGGAAGGAAUUAAAGUGAAAUGCACAAAGUUAGAUGACACUAUCCCUGAUAUCUGCCCUACAUGCAACACAGGACCUCAUGAAAACAAUCACUCAUUUACACUCCCGGCGAAACGAACGGUUCUACCAUCCCCAUUCGAAAUGGAUCUAUAGACCAUAGCCAGGUCGAAAAAUCUCAAAAAAUAUCAACCAAAAAACUUGCAGAGAUUCCAUUGAUCACAUAACUUGCAUGGCGAGAAUAAACUUAACAGUCCGAACACUAAGUACAAGCUCUAGUUAAAUGUGAAAAAGAAUAUGAUAAACAAGUAAAAAGGCGUUAA